rnacentral:rRNA from 1 species
GACGAACGCUGGCGGCGUGCUUAACACAUGCAAGUCGAACGGAAAGGCCCUGCUUUUGUGGGGUGCUCGAGUGGCGAACGGGUGAGUAACACGUGAGUAACCUGCCCUUGACUUUGGGAUAACUUCAGGAAACAGGGGCUAAUACCGGAUAGGAGCUCCUGCUGCAUGGUGGGGGUUGGAAAGUUUCGGCGGUUGGGGAUGGACUCGCGGCUUAUCAGCUUGUUGGUGGGGUAGUGGCUUACCAAGGCUUUGACGGGUAGCCGGCCUGAGAGGGUGACCGGCCACAUUGGGACUGAGAUACGGCCCAGACUCCUACGGGAGGCAGCAGUGGGGAAUAUUGCACAAUGGGCGGAAGCCUGAUGCAGCGACGCCGCGUGCGGGAUGACGGCCUUCGGGUUGUAAACCGCUUUCGCCUGUGACGAAGCGUGAGUGACGGUAAUGGGUAAAGAAGCACCGGCUAACUACGUG